UGGGGAAUUUUGGACAAUGGGCGAAAGCCUGAUCCAGCAAUGCCGCGUGUGUGAAGAAGGCCUUCGGGUUGUAAAGCACUUUUGUCCGGAAAGAAAUCCUUGGCUCUAAUACAGUCGGGGGAUGACGGUACCGGAAGAAUAAGCACCGGCUAACUACGUGCCAGCAGCCGCGGUAAUACGUAGGGUGCAAGCGUUAAUCGGAAUUACUGGGCGUAAAGCGUGCGCAGGCGGUUUGCUAAGACCGAUGUGAAAUCCCCGGGCUCAACCUGGGAACUGCAUUGGUGACUGGCAGGCUAGAGUAUGGCAGAGGGGGGUAGAAUUCCACGUGUAGCAGUGAAAUGCGUAGAGAUGUGGAGGAAUACCGAUGGCGAAGGCAGCCCCCUGGGCCAAUACUGACGCUCAUGCACGAAAGCGUGGGGAGCAAACAGGAUUAGAUACCCUGGCAGUCCACGCCCUAAACGAUGUCAACUAGUUGUUGGGGAUUCAUUUCCUUAGUAACGUAGCUAACGCGUGAAGUUGACCGCCUGGGGAGUACGGUCGCAAGAUUAAAACUUAAAUGAAUUGACGGGGUCAUAGCUGUUUCCU
rnacentral:rRNA from 1 species